rnacentral:rRNA from 1 species
GACGUAGGGCGCGAGCGUUGUCCGGAUUUAUUGGGCGUAAAGAGCUCGUAGGCGGCUUGUUGCGUCAGCUGUGAAAACCCGCAGCUCAACUGUGGGCUUGCAGCUGAUACGGGCAGGCUUGAGUUCGGUAGGGGAGACUGGAAUUCCUGGUGUAGCGGUGAAAUGCGCAGAUAUCAGGAGGAACACCAAUAGCGAAGGCAGCUCGCUGGGACGUUACUGACACUAAGGCGCGAAAGCGUGGGGAGCGAACAGG